rnacentral:lncRNA from 1 species
UAGUUAUCUUGAAUAGGGUGAGCUUGCUUUAUAUAGGUGCUAUAUAUUUUGUUUUUAACUUCAGUGGGGAGUUUAAAGGACAGAUUGUUCAGGUUAAAAGAAUUGUUACUGAUGAUAUCAGCUAGCGUUUACUAUUGUUCAUGUUUCAAAUUGUUCAGGUUAAAGGAAUUGUUACUGAUGAUAUCAGCUAGCGUUUGCUGUUGUUCAUAUUUCAUUAAAGGUCCUUGGAUUUGAGUUCUUAGUGGUUCUUUUGUUCCUAGCCAAUUAUCUUGCCAAGUUCUAAUUAGUUUUCUAUCCCCAAUUUCCCAAUGUAUGUCUGCUUUGCAGAUUUGAGAGCCCUGGACAAUAUUUUUUCAAAUAUGUGAGCCGUUACCCUAUUGGAUAUUCCAACUUUGUUUGGUGGUUUUUUGUCGUACCUACUAUGUAGC